rnacentral:lncRNA from 1 species
AUGCUCCUUAGCCUUUGAGUUUCAGAAUGGCUCUCCUAAAAGGAACACUCCUAUUUGUCCAGGUUGCGAUCUCAUAUUCACUCUGGGCCAGACCAACUACACAACUCCUUAAUUCUUCAGUUGGCCGGGAGUGAGGUUCCAGGAUGCCACAGCCCUGGGCAAUGAAGACAACAAGUUCAUCUUGAAUAGAUGGAUCUGAUUCACCUGACCUUAGGAGGAAUACACUGAAUUAUUUUUCAUGCUAGAGCAUAUUCCCAGGGCGCUGGGGCAGAGACCACGUCCUAAACCCAACUCAAAUGUGGGCUGUGCUCUUGGCUGAAGAAAAGCAUGGAAAGCAGUUGGGGACCUGCAUCCCCAAGACUGUCAGCCCUUCUCCAGGGCUAGCAACAAGCAGAGUGUAGCAGUGAGAAGAUGCUCUUGGCAGGCUCCAGAUAGCUGUGCCCUCAGCCCAGGAGGACUCAGCCAAUGAAGACUCAGCUAAUGAAAGCUCAGCAUGGAGGUGGCAAAGGGCUGCAGCCCCACCGAACUCUUUGCCUCCAGGCGCUGUGGUGGUGAAGAACUGAAAUACACAAACCUUGGGGCUUCCCCUUGUCCCUGAAACUGCAGAAGAUGCUGGCUCGGGAGAGCCCAGGUGAGAAAGCUGCUGCAGGAGCCAGAAACUUUGGCAAAGACUCUUUCUUUGCAAGUAAGAAAGCUAGUUGGGAAAGAGGACCAACUGUUCCUUCUAAAUUCCCAGGGAGUGGAGGGUACGUGAGGCCCUGUGAUUCAUUGGCCAGGAGUAUCUGCUCCAGCUGCCAGGCCAGAGUGAUCAAUCCAAAAGUGCUUCUGAAAAUGAGGCCAGACCCACAUUAAUGAAGCCUGAUUGCCUCAGAAUUAUUGUCGGAUUAAUUAGCAGCUUUGCCAGUAGCCCAUGUGUUCAGGGUCAGUAACAAUUUAUGGUGAGUCACAUUUAAGUAAUU